rnacentral:tRNA from 2 species
GCCGCCGUGGUGGAAUGGCAGACACCUGGGAUUUAAAACCCCAAUCCGCGCAAGCGGAGUGCAGGUUCGAGUCCUGCCGGCGGCA